AUGCUCAGUGAUUAUAAAAAGACGCGUUAUUCUGAGGAGGCAAACUGCCACCAGUCUCUUUCCUUUGCUUCCCCCUCUUCACUCCUUUCAUCUUACUCCUUCCUCCUCCUAUUCCUCACACUGGUCGGUGGUCCACUGACUGUGAUUAUGAGAUCUGAGGGCAU